rnacentral:rRNA from 1 species
AGAUUGAACGCUAGCGGCAUGCCUAACACAUGCAAGUCGAACGGUAACAGGCCCUUCGGGGUGCUGACGAGUGGCGGACGGGUGAGUAAUGCGUAGGAAUCUACCCACGAGUGGGGGAUAGCCCGGAGAAAUUCCGGGAUUAAAUACCGCUAUAUUGCCCUACGGGGUAAAGACGGGGGAGUCGUAAGACCUCGCGCUGGUGGAUGAGCCUACGUCCGAUUAGUUAGUUGGUGGGGUAAAGGGCCUACCAAGGCUACGAUUCGGUAGCUGGUCUGAGAGGAUGAUCAGUCCACACGUGGGACUGAGACACGGCCCAGACUCCUACGGGAGGCAGC